UUUCCGUAGGUGAACCUGCGGAAAGAUCAUUCAUAAUAAGUGUUUUAUGGCACUUUUUUAAAUCCAUAUCCACCUUGUGUGCAAUGUCAGGGUUGAUUUUUCUCUCGAGAGGAUCAACCCCAAACAUCAACUAUAUCUCAACUCUUUGUCUGAAAAAUAUUAUGAAUAAAACAAUUCAAAAUACAACUUUCAACAACGGAUCUCUUGGCUCUC
rnacentral:misc_RNA from 1 species